CCCGCCGGCGACCGGCGCACGGGUGAGUAACACGUAUGCAACCUGGCCGUGACAGAUGGAUAACCGGGAGAAAUCCCGCCUAAUACAACAUAAUGCCGGGAGGGGACAUCCCCUGCCGGCCAAAGGGGGCGACCCCGGUCACGGAUGGGCAUGCGGCGCAUUAGGUAGUUGGUGGGGCAACGGCCCACCAAGCCGACGAUGCGUAGGGGUUCUGAGAGGAAGGUCCCCCACAUUGGAACUGAGACACGGUCCAAACUCCUACGGAAGGCAGCAG
rnacentral:rRNA from 1 species